rnacentral:rRNA from 1 species
UGUAAGCCUGUGAAGGUGUACUGUGAGGUAUGCUGGAGGUAUCAGAAGUGCGAAUGCUGACAUAAGUAACGAUAAAGCGGGUGAAAAGCCCGCUCGCCGGAAGACCAAGGGUUCCUGUCCAACGUUAAUCGGGGCAGGGUGAGUCGACCCCUAAGGCGAGGCCGAAAGGCGUAGUCGAUGGGAAACAGGUUAAUAUUCCUGUACUUGGUGUUACUGCGAAGGGGGGACGGAGAAGGCUAUGUUGGCCGGGCGACGGUUGUCCCGGUUUAAGCGUGUAGGCUGGUUUUCCAGGCAAAUCCGGAAAAUCAAGGCUGAGGCGUGAUGACGAGGCACUACGGUGCUGAAGCAACAAAUGCCCUGCUUCCAGGAAAAGCCUCUAAGCAUCAGGUAACAUCAAAUCGUACCCCAAACCGACACAGGUGGUCAGGUAGAGAAUACCAAGGCGCUUGAGAGAACUCGGGUGAAGGAACUAGGCAAAAUGGUGCCGUAACUUCGGGAGAAGGCACGCUGAUAUGUAGGUGAAGCGACUUGCUCGUGGAGCUGAAAUCAGUCGAAGAUACCAGCUGGCUGCAACUGUUUAUUAAAAACACAGCA